ensembl:lncRNA
AUGGUUUGGCUUUUGAUUCUCUGGGUUGUCCAAGGUAGGACCAGUAAUUUUGUUGUGACGUCCUACUUUUGAGUGUUUUCCAAUUGAGGUACUGUAGGCCAGGCCAAUUUCACAGAGGCCAAUUGGUUGACCAUGUUAUUAUUAUGUCACAUUAUGUUUCCCUUGUGUGUUUCAGUGGGCAGUGUUCCCAUAGCCAAUUUCACAAAUGCUACUACUUCAAAUGCUACUUUCCCUGCCACAGUGGACAACUCUAAAAACCCCAUCAACAAUUCUACAAAUGUGACUUUCUCUGCCACAGGUUCUACUGCCUCGAUGGGGCCACGUCACAGACAAAAUGAUUGGUAUAAAAC